rnacentral:lncRNA from 1 species
GAACUCUCUUUUAAAACCAAAGUGGCAUUAGACUAAUUUUAAAAUUCCCGCUAAAAGGAAAAAGGUAAAUCUGGCAACAGUGCCGUCGUUUGCUGGUUAAUCUCACAGUAAAGGACAUGACAUUCUGUCAUGUACUGUGGUUAAUCUCUCCCCACAAACUAUCACCUACCACUGUCAGUCGACCACAAACCAUACAUACUCAUAGACGUUUCACGACCAUGUUAAUCUUUUGGAUCGAAUUAACGCCAUCUCUUGAUUGGAAUGGGAACUAAAUUGACAAAUUUUAGUUACGUGGGAAUUUCAAAUUAUAGGUUUUGCGGGAUUUUUGAUGAAAUUUCGCAGGAAAUUAAAACAACAGAAAGACAAUUCAAUGUUUUUUUCAAUAUGUUACUGAAAACUUCAACUAUUCCAAUUUGUUUUCAAAAUGCUAAACACUACUGCCAUGUGUCACGUGAAAGCACUGAUGUGUAAUAUUGAGUUGAAUGAAAAUUUUUGAAAGAAUCUUGUAGGAUGAUUGUUUAGAUAAAUAUUACCUUAUAAUCUUUUACAAAGUUCCAAAAAUAUAUAGGCCUGAAAUGUUGAUGACACACUUGUCUGUUGGAAUAAACUGUUUCAGGAUCUCUUAUAUUGUUUUUUUUAAUGUGGAGAAACACAACACGGGAUGAUCAAUGUAAACUAAAAAUUCUACUCAUAAAAACGGAGAGGAGGUUAAUACAAUUGAUUAAAAUUGUGAUUAAAUCUAAUUAAAAACGUAACACCACUAUAAUAAAAUAAUUAAGCCACAAACUGUAAAAUAAAAAGUAAAUAACAAAUUAAUUUAAUUGUCAAUUGUCAGUUGCUAAAUAUGACAAGAGAAUUGACUGACAGCGACAUCUCUGGAUUGGAAUGGUAACUAAUUUGCUGUCUUGACCUUGACAAUUUACGUGAAACGUCUAUGAGUAUGUAUGGUUUGUGCAGUCGACAGCAACGAAACAAAAAACGGGUCGCGGAUGUUACGAGAGCUUAAUUUCCCGACUCUGCACCCCCCACUACUGUUUAUAUGUGCACGUAUUUAACGAAUGGCGGGAAGUUUGAAAAUGGCCAUGACCAACCAGCUAGAGCAAUCUAACCUUACACUUACAUUUAUAAAAGUGUUUUGUUAUUGUUUUUGUAUAAGUGAACUAUUUUAAUUUUGUCAAAUUUACGUUUUAUAUUAGUAAAAUGUAUCCUUAGAAUUUGAGGAACAAUUUAGUGAUGAUGAAAGAAUAAUAUAUUUUUUAAAUAACGCUUGAACCUGUACCAUACAAGAACGAAAAAAGUUAUGAAAGAAUUUGAUGAUAACAAAUUUUUAUUAAUGUUUAUAGUUUCCAUAAAAAUACUGUGAGAUAAUUUAUACAAGAGCUGGUCCCUGGUUUCCAUUAUGUAAUUCUUUAGUAGGUAUGAUGAGCCUAAUAUCACAGAUCAAGUUUUAAUAACAUUAAAAACUUAUAUUAUGAGUUGUUUUUAUUUAUUGUAUGGUUUUGGUGGUAUACCUAUACAAAACAACUACUGAAAGAUUUAUAAAACCCAUGAAGUACUGGCAGAUAACAUAGUUGUUGAUAUUGAUAGAGAAUAUGUUAACACAGAAGAUAUUCCAUUUAUGAGUACUAAUCUAUAAACAUGUUAUAAAAUACUAUAAAAUUUAACAUUUAUAAUAAAUAUUUAAACCUUUGUUUUAUUGUAUUUAGUUUAUAUUCUUAAUAUACACUUUAUGUUGAA